rnacentral:rRNA from 1 species
UCUACGGGAGGCUGCAGUGGGGAAUAUUGGACAAUGGGCGAAAGCCUGAUCCAGCCAUGCCGCGUGUGUGAAGAAGGCCUUCGGGUUGUAAAGCACUUUCAGUGGGGAAGAAAGCCUUGGGGCUAAUACCCUCGAGGAAGGACAUCACCCACAGAAGAAGCACCGGCUAACUCCGUGCCAGCAGCCGCGGUAAUACGGAGGGUGCGAGCGUUAAUCGGAAUUACUGGGCGUAAAGCGCGCGUAGGCGGUCUGAUAAGCCGGUUGUGAAAGCCCCGGGCUCAACCUGGGAACGGCAUCCGGAACUGUCAGGCUAGAGUGCAGGAGAGGAAGGUAGAAUUCCCGGUGUAGCGGUGAAAUGCGUAGAGAUCGGGAGGAAUACCAGUGGCGAAGGCGGCCUUCUGGACUGACACUGACGCUGAGGUGCGAAAGCGUGGGUAGCAAACAGGAUUAGAUACCCUUGUAGUC